UCAGGUUAAGAGCCGAAAACCCGGCAGAACCGGCAAACCGCCCCGGUGGGCGCUCACUACAACACCUGACUUCUCCCGCUGCCAGCCCCCAGCGCCGGGGAGAGGAGAGGAGAGGAGAGGAGGAGAGGAGUGGUGACGGAUGGGAAAUGCCACACACCUCGCGUCUCCUUUUUGAUCGCCCCCGGAGUGGACCCCCUGCGCCUCGCCCCCUGGUAUCCUCAUCUGAACUGCCCCGGGCUCAGUCCCGCUCCGGCAGCCUCCCUAGGGAGGGGGCAGGCCAGGGGCACAGCUGGACGGCAGCUGGGGAACAUCUGCAGACCGGGGGGUGAGCUACCAGUCUGGCUGCGGCCGGGAGGGUUCCUGGCACCGUGAUUUGGUGCAAAAACAGAAACGAAAAUCACAUUGCCAGGGAUUUCCACUCUGUCACAGCUUUAUGACCGCCCACAUGUGCGCCUUCUUCCCAGCAGAGUCCGCAACGGCCCCCGUCAGGGUUCCCCAACCGUCCCUAAUGGCUCAGUGUCCUCGCCCUGGGAGUUCACUCGGGACCGGAGAAAACGCUCCUACACAACAGCGUUACUACAUUUCUGUUCUGUGUGUAAGUGGGAUUGUCUGAGGGCCCAGCUACAUCACGUAUUCAUAGUCACGCAGAGAUAAGAAAAGUUACCUUUAUGGUUUUCGUGAACAAAAGUAUAUUGCAAAAUCUCAAACCAGGCUCGUACCUGCACUGCUGAAAGAGUCCUUUUAAUUCUAAUCUUCUUGAGUCCGCUGGUUGCUUCCUAGGGUGAAAAUUCCAAGCGUUGAAGACUCUCGAAGCUUACACACCGUAUCAUGUUUUCGGGAACUAUCGUUUAUCAUCUAGAGGAAUGCUGAAUGACCUGCGGGAAUAUUUGACUGGAACGCACCAUCUGAAACUGAUCAGCGGGCCAAAACUUAACCAUGCAUUUGUUGGGGGGGGUUUCAGCUUAACGGAAGGAAUGGAGAUGGUUAAAAUUUCAGAGUGUGGGAGCAGUAUUGAAUACACAGUUCUCUGGGAUUCAGCAUUGAGGGGGUGGAGGAGGAGAGGAAAUUUACUGACCGUGCCUAAUUUCAUGUGUGCUCGACCGGGACAUACAGUACCGCGAUCCACCGGACAACACGCAUGUCAAGAGCUGUCGUGUCCGCCGUUUCCCCAAGAGAGACUGUCCGCCACGCCAUGCGCAAGUGCAUCCUAUAGCCCAGUCGCUUUCAAAAGGCACAGAGCUUAGCUAAUUGUCGAGCAUUGAUCGCUUUAAUAUACUGUUCACAGUGGCUAAGUUCAGUGCCUGAGGUGAAACAGUUAAUAGGAUGUAAAGAGCGUGUUUGGGAACGCAGACCGCCCCCCCGCCCUUCUUCGUUGGAAGGUGACGGGAAAAGAAAUGGACAGAGUGGGCAUGAAGACCUCAUUAUUCCGCCGUGGGUACGGAGCCAGCAGUGUGCAGAGUAGCAGGUUACCCAUAAAGCAACUGAAGAAGGAAAAAAAAAAAGCUCAGGAAUGUUCCCUAAAUGUCAGGCCAGUGGAGGCACGCAGAGUUCUCGUUCACCUGGUUGAGUGCGUAGCUUUGACAGUGAGCAGAGAUACUGAUUUACGUGCCAAAGGCAGGGCUUUCCACACUCUCAAAGCGGGGGUGGGGAGGUGGGGUGAUGGCCGGGCUUUCCCCGAACGGUUCAACAGCAGGGUCUGUUUUUAUGUUGUUGUUGUUGUUCUUUUUGUGUAUGUGUGUAUUUGUCUCAUCCAGAAAGAGAGAGAGAUAGAGAGAGAGAGUGAGCACGAGAGAGAUAUGGACAGAAAGAGAGAGAGAUCUAUAGACGAAGGUAGAGAGAGAAAGAAAUAUAGAGAAAGAAAGAUAUCGAGAAAGGGAGAGAGAGAGAUAGAGAAAGAGAGAGAGAGUUAACAUGAGUUAAAGGUACUGACCGCGAGUCAAUAUCCAUGAGUGAGACAUAUGAAGCUUGUCAGGCAGACAGAUGAGGCGCUAAGGCACAUCUAUUUUUCAUCUCGUACUGUACCAGACGCUCUUUAUGCUAGCCGUCCGCUGAAUUGACACAUCAGCCCGCUCCUGAUCCAACAGUACCCGUCCCUCCAGUCGUUGGAUUCAUCUGCUCUCUGUAAUUACUGCAUGAUGGAAGCCAUGAUGGAAAAUUAGUCUCGGGGACAGAUUCCAGCGAGGGAGAUGCUUGUGUCCUCAGCUCCGCCAGGCCCCUGGCUCGGCGCAGUGCAUUGUGGGACAGGUCAGGGUUGUGACCUCCCGUGCCUACUGAACUGGUAUCAGUGUGUCUACAGAAUGCUGGCUCAGUUCAGCAGGAACAGGAGUGGAGCCCAAUCGGUGCCAGUCAUUGCAUCAUCACCAUCCAAUCAGCGCGCAGCCUAUGAUGUCAUUUUCUUAAUCCCACCCCCUGGUUUCCUAGUCGUACUCGAUUCAGGUGUGGAAAAUCAUAUACAUUUCGAUGUUUAAAUUCUCUUCCUGGUUUUAGUAGCUAAACGCCCACAAAACGUUUUGCUAAGAGCACUGACAAAGGUUUUUUGAAAAGUCUCUAACCCUGCCCCCAGAGCUCAAUUCCCCCUCCACUUCCUGUGGUCUGCUCUCUGUGAUAACACUAAGCAAUGUCAUCCGAUAACUAUGCAAACACAUACUGUAUGUACGUCAUGUCACGUGGAAAAUUUUUUUUCAAACAGCACGGGAUAAUAUCAGUUAGACCCAAAAAUGUGCAUAGUUCUACCAAAAUCACAAUUGUUUUAUUUGGAUCAGUAUAGAAGCACAAAUCAAAAGCUCUGGGAUGAUGUGAAAAACUAUGUACGUGAGUGAAUUAUCAGAUAUAGGAGGUCAGCAUUUGAUGGUUUCUGGUUGUAUAUUCACUUCAUUCGCUUAUUUUUGUACAUUCAAUGUGCUGUAUUCUGAUUCACACCUCAAGUGUAUUCCAUCAUGGUCACAAUUUAAUAUAAGGUUCCAUGAACUGGCAUGAACUAACAGUUAUUAACUAGCUUAACUAACUACUGCUGAGAAGUUAAUCUGUACAGCUCUGUUAAUGUAUUUGUACAUCAUUAAUUUUUGUUAACAACUAUAUUAGUUAUUACAAAUUCACAUUGGAAUGAAAAGGUCAAUUUAUAUAUUUGUUAACUAAUCCCAUGGUUUGCUAAUGCAUAAAUAUCAUGCAACAAAUAUGUUAGUUAGUUGUUAACAAAUGCAUGAACUAAUCACAAGUUAAAUUCAUGCUUAAUUCAUGUAUUUGCCUAUCAUUAAUUAAUGUUCACAACUACAUUAGUUAAGGCCCAUUCAUGGACCUUAUUGUAAAGUGUGACCAAUGUAUCUCAUCUUGUACUACUGCCACUGUACAGCGUCUGUUCUCAGAAGCUGUACCAAGGACAUAAACAUUCACAAACCUGCCAUUGCAGUCUAAAAAUGAAACCGCAUACUGUAUGUGAAAUGCAUGAACUGUCUGCCCAUUGAUAUCACCGAAGAUAUGAAUAUUUCAAAUGCUCUUUCCAAUGAGAUAAUGUAAUGGGGAGUGAAUUAUUACCGUGGAAAUAUUUAAUGUUUUUGCUUUUUAUAAAACUGCUGAGUUUGAGAAUACUAUUUAGCUUGUGCUUGAGUGCAAAUUGUCUGUAUGAUUAGCUUGUCGGUGUGAUUUAAUUCAGCCCAUCUGUUUACCCCACCAAAGCAUGCAGAAUGCAAAAGCACUGUGCAAAGCAUGACACAAGAUAGCCAUAAAUAUGCAAAGCACAAAUUCCUCAACAUUCAAAUAGAUAUUAUUGCCUUGUUUCAGACAUAACAUGUUACCUGGCUUAUUUAUGCAGAGGGAAGGUACACUUCAUUACAAUUGCCAGUGAUUUCUGUCCAUCUGACAGAUUAUUGAUCGGUGAAGGCCUUUGUUUCAACCAUAUAACUUUUUCUGGGCAAUUAUGUUCAACCUUGAAGAGAUUAGUGUAAUACUUAGUACGUAUUUUAAUGUUCAGCAGACUCAAAAAUCCAUUACAAACGGGAAGCCUGUCUCUAGGGCACUUCUCUCGGUGAAAUGCAAACAAUUGAUUUUUGAAUUGACUCCUUUUUUUUCCUAUUUUCCAUAAGAAGAGCAGCCGAAGUGGUUUGGAAAUUGCUGUGUGCUGAACAUUUGUGUUGUUCUGAAGCUCGAUGAUACGAGCACUUGGGCUACUUCUGAAAAUAAACGACUGCCCUGCUGAAAAACAGCUAGGUUUUGAAUCAGCUGGUAGCUGGUUGACCUGCUUCCAGCUCAGACAAGCUACCACCACCAGCUGGUUGACCAGCCCAUACCCAGCUAGACCAGCUUUAUGACCAGCUUGGUCAUGCUGGUUGACCAGCCCAUACCCAGCUAGACCAGCUUUAUGACCAGCUUGGUCAUGCUGGUUGACCAGCCCAUACCCAGCUAGACCAGCUUUAUGACCAGCUUGGUCAUGCUGGUUGACCAGCCCAUACCCAGCUAGACCAGCUUUAUGACCAGCUUGGUCAUGCUGGUUGACCAGCCCAUACCCAGCUAGACCAGUUUUAUGACCAGUUUGGCCAUGCUGGUUGACCAGCUCAUACCCAGCUAGACCAGCUUAUGACCUACAUCUCCAAGCUGGUCGAGCAGGCAGAGCUGGAUUUUACUGCAGGGCGGUUCCUCAAAUUGAGCCAGUGGAACCAACAGACCUCUGAAUAUAUGGGGUGGGGGGUCUGAUUUCAACUGAUCUCCCCCCCCCCCCCCAACAGCCCCAAUAUGUAUUAGGCCCAUAAUUCAAGAUUAUAUGUACCUUAUGAGGUUCACAGUAAGCAGAUCGAGAAAUAUGUUUGUGCCGGACCUUCACCUAGCCCUCUCACGGUUUCCAUAGUGAUGUCAGGAUCCUCCUGACGUAUCGCAGGGCUGACAUGUUUCGGCUGCCUCGUUUCGCUUGGGUCUCGUUCGCUGCCAGUGGCUUAUAUCGAAUCAGCGUCCUCUCGGCCCCCGGGCCCUGGCCAUGUGCGGGUUCUAUAAUUGAUUUAAGCUGAGACACACCAGCUGAGCAGCGUGGCGGAUCUGGCUUCUGGCGACCGGUGGCUCCUCGGGGUCCUUCCAGGUCGCCCGGCGCGAAACGCCUGCGCAAAAUCACGCCUUACUGGCUAAAUCGUUAGUCUGAUUCAGGGGUCCUCAGUCUUUCCCUGAAAGUGCCAGUGUGGGUACUGGCUUUUGAUCUAAGCAAGCAGUCACACGCCUGAUUCUACUAAUCAAGGUCCUUAGCAAAGUCGGUACUGGUUGAUUAGUGGAAUCAGGUGUGGAACUGCUUGGUUGGAACAAAAGCCUGCACCCACACAGCGCCCCUUUCUGAAUAAGAUUGAGGACCCCUGGUCUAAUUAAUCAGAACCACAACAAAUGUAUUGUUAUAGAAAAAUGGUUCUUCUAUGAUAAUAAAAUGUGUAUUCAAUGCUUUUACCAGAUCCUCCAUAUUUCCUUUCUGAUUUUUACAUUAAAUAACUUACUUUGUUGUAAUUGUUAUAGCGUCAAUACAUGUUUUCUAAAAAAAAUGAUGUCAAUCAUUAAAUAAACAUAUGGCUCCUUUUACUUUCAAAUAUAAGGAUGGGUAUAAAUGAUAGAAUGUACAUGCAUGCAGUUCACCUGUAUUUAAUUAUUAAAGAGUGUGUCAUUCAAAUUAUGUCAUUAAUAUCCUAUAGCAGCUACAUGUUGGCACCCCUUGAUGUCCCCGUGUAGGAUUCAUGGCUGCUGUUGCUAGGUUACUGGUGAUGACAGCCAGCUUCAGGGCCAUUUCUCCAUAGCCAUAGGUCAGCAGUAACACACUGUGUCCUGGGCCCAGCUCUGAGCUGGAGAUCAGUAUCUGUUUGCAUGCAAACCCCCUGGUACAAAUCGUCCUGAAAAGGAGCCAGAUCUAGCACAGAUUUAACUUCUGUCCCAGCCUCCAAGUUUUGCACUCCUUCACCCAGGUGCAACUACUAAAUGCCUGGAAGAAAAAAAACGAGUGUUGAAUGCAAAUAAAGUUUGCUUCUUGUUA